GAUGAACGCUGGCGGCGUGCCUAAUACAUGCAAGUCGAGCGAACAGACGAGGAGCUUGCUCCUCUGACGUUAGCGGCGGACGGGUGAGUAACACGUGGAUAACCUACCUAUAAGACUGGGAUAACUUCGGGAAACCGGAGCUAAUACCGGAUAAUAUAUUGAACCGCAUGGUUCAAUAGUGAAAGACGGUUUUGCUGUCACUUAUAGAUGGAUCCGCGCCGCAUUAGCUAGUUGGUAAGGUAACGGCUUACCAAGGCAACGAUGCGUAGCCGACCUGAGAGGGUGAUCGGCCACACUGGAACUGAGACACGGUCCAGACUCCUACGGGAGGCAGCAGUAGGGAAUCUUCGGCAAUGGGCGAAAGUCUGACGGAGCAACGCCGCGUGAGUGAAGAAGGUCUUCGGAUCGUAAAACUCUGUUAUUAGGGAAGAACAAAUGUGUAAGUAACUAAGCACGUCUUGACGGUACCUAAUCAGAAAGACACGGCUAACUACGUG
rnacentral:rRNA from 1 species